CAGGAAGCCCGUGUCCUGGCACCGGUCCUUUGAGGUACGAAACAUUGUGAGUUUGUUUCGUUUUCGAAGGUCGGCUGUCAGUGCAUGUGGAGAUUUUCG
rnacentral:pre_miRNA from 1 species